AUUAAAUAUCUUACAGAAAACAAAGGAACUCGUAACGUCUUAUUUAUAAUCAUUAAGAGAAACCUGAAGGCCAAUUACUCACUGAGUGGCAAGCAACUCAAUUACAUUAUUGUAUACGACUUUGGUAUGAUAAAAGAAUCCUCAGAACUGUAUUAAAAAAUUGUGAGAAGGAGUUUACACAGGUCAGUCUAUAAAACUACUGCAUAAUUUCUGUCUGUAAAUUAAAAUAGAAAAGAAAUAAGAUUGAAUUAAAUAUGAUAAUAGUAAAUUUCAUGUCAAAGUGUGCUAAACUAGCUGGCCUUUCCUAUUCUUGAAUAAAAUUAUUCUGGUUGCCAUAAUACAUCCCAAAGCUUACCUAGAUGAGGAGAAAUUCAAAGUAUUCCAACGUCUGCCCUCAUGAAUAGAUCAAGCCUUGGGGGAAACCAGUGAUCUCUUGGCAACAGGACCAGAAG
rnacentral:lncRNA from 1 species